ACGGCAACACAAGAGGGGCGGCACCUCGGUCUUGUGGAGGAGUUUGGAGGAGCAGUCGAGGGAGAAAGAAGAAGGACGUCCACGAGCGCAGAAAUUGAUACGCCCCUGGAGAGGAAAAAAGGGGGACAGAGAUGCUUCGAGGGGAAGAGGGACUGCAAUCUUCAACAUCACCUACAUAGGACAUAGGUAAAUUUCCUUUUCUUCUUUUAUUGGUACCAUAGACAAUCCAGUGAAGCAGUAUAUUUGACUAGGGAGAUUGAGUAGCAUUCAGUUAACAGUACGUACAAGUUCAAAUAAAAAUCAGUUGCAACUUGGAACUCUAACACACAUGAGAUAAAACUCGGAAGAACAAAAUUAAUUAGGUUGGCUUCGGUUGAUUGAGAAAGAAUUGAUUUUGUCCUCUCAUCAAACUAGUGUCAGAGGUCCCAAUUGCCCCUUGCACUAACGGAUUCAACACUGAAUGUUGUUGUUGUAAAUAUGUAUGCAUGUGAUUUGUUGGAUGACCCUGUGUAGGAAAUAAGAAAAGUUCGGUUUCAUUUAGGAUAUAAAAGUAGAAGAGUUCAUCACUUUAUGGCCACUGCUUCUUCUGAUGCUAAAACCGCAUACUUGUUAUAAAAUAAAUAAGCUUCCUCUUAUAAAAAUUUCAUGCCAAGCUUUAGUACCCUUCUGUCAUCUACUGCAGUUUCUUGAUCCUAUGUCAGUUAGGAUUCAAUUUAGUCCAUGAACUAUAUGCAUUGUAAAAGGAACAGAAAAAACUGUAGUGGGUGUUUUCCAAAAACUGAAAUCUGAGAUGGUACAAAAAGUGUGAAUGUGCAACUAAAUGUGAAAAUGCAACGAAACUAAUUUUCCGUUGUUGUUUGGCUUUUGCAGCUUGCGGCUUUUGUCGCUGAUUCAUCAUCAGAACUCAGUGAGAUUUCUUACUUUAGGUACAUGAGAUUGUUCAUCAACGUCGUGGUUCUCUGGAACACUCCUUGGAGAAGCCAUCAGGGAUGCAAGACUCGGAGAAGCCAUCAGGGACGGAGAUUCCUUUGCUACUCAAUUCAAAAGAAGAAUUUGUUGAUUCCUGGUUAGGCCGCCAUUGAUAGUUGUGCGUUUUAAGGCUGUAGGUCACUUUCGCCUAAUAUGAGAAGUAGAUCUUACAUGUUGGCGCCCUUUUUGUAUUAGGAGGUUCUUUUCCCGGGUGAUUGGAUUCUUUCCCGUUGGUUUGUGUGCAGUUUUAAUGAUGAGAGUAUUACGAAAGGGAAUCAGUAUUAUGCUGUG
rnacentral:lncRNA from 1 species